GACGAACGCUGGCGGCGUGCCUAACACAUGCAAGUCGAACGAGGUCCAUGCAGUGGCAACACUGCGGAAGACCUAGUGGCGAACGGGUGAGUAACACGUGAGGAACCUGCCCCGAAGACCGGGAUAACCCUCCGAAAGGAGAGCUAAUACCGGAUACCCCCACCGGAUCGCAUGAUCUGGUGAGGAAAUGGAUUCCGCUUCGGGAGGGCCUCGCGGCCUAUCAGCUAGUUGGUGGGGUAACGGCCCACCAAGGCAUCGACGGGUAGCUGGUCUGAGAGGACGAUCAGCCACACUGGGACUGAGACACGGCCCAGACUCCUACGGAGGCAGCAGUGGGGAAUCUUGCGCAAUGGGCGAAAGCCUGACGCAGCAACGCCGCGUGGGGGAUGAAGGCUCUCGGGUUGUAAACCCUUUCAGCAGGGACGAA
rnacentral:rRNA from 1 species